rnacentral:misc_RNA from 1 species
UCCGGUUUGACACCGGCAGUCUCGCUAGAGUCCUCGCCAUUACGCGUUAGCAACUAGCGACAAGGGUUGCGCUCGUUAAGGGACUUAACCCGACACUUCACAGCACGAGCUGACGACAGCCAUGCAGCACCUGUGCACGUUCCACUCUUGCGAGUGUGGCCGAUGUUUCCACCGGUUAAUCCGUGCAUGUCAAACCCAGGUAAGGUUCUUCGCGUUGCUUCGAAUUAGGCAACAUGCUCCACCGCUUGUGUGAGCCCCCGUCAAUUCCUUUGAGUUUUAGCCUUGCGGCCGUACUCCCCAGGCGGGGUGCUUAAUGCGUUAGCUACGGCACGGAAGGAGUCGACACCUCCCACACCUAGCACCCAUCGUUUACGGCGUGGACUAC